UGAGGAAUAUUGGACAAUGGAGGCAACUCUGAUCCAGCCAUGCCGCGUGCAGGAAGAAUGCCCUAUGGGUUGUAAACUGCUUUUAUACGGGAAGAAACCUAGCCACGUGUGGCUAGCUGACGGUACCGUAAGAAUAAGGAUCGGCUAACUCCGUGCCAGCAGCCGCGGUAAUACGGAGGAUCCAAGCGUUAUCCGGAAUCAUUGGGUUUAAAGGGUCCGUAGGUGGAUAAUUAAGUCAGGGGUGAAAGUCUGCAGCUCAACUGUAGAAUUGCCCUUGAUACUNGUUAUCUUGAAUUAUUGUGAAGUAGUUAGAAUAUGUGGUGUAGCGGUGAAAUGCAUAGAUAUUACAUGGAAUACCAAUUGCGAAGGCAGAUUACUAACAAUAUAUUGACACUGAUGGACGAAAGCGUGGGGAGCGAACA
rnacentral:rRNA from 1 species